GGCUGGUCCGAUGGUAGUGGGUUAUCAGAACUUAUUAACAUUAGUGUCACUAAAGUUGGUAUACAACCCUCCACUGCUAAAUUUGACUGGCUUUUU
rnacentral:Y_RNA from 1 species